UUCCCCUAGUAACUGCGAGUGAAGCGGGAAAAGCUCAAAUUUAAAAUCUGGCGGUCUUUGNCUNUCCGAGUUGUANUCUAGAGAAGUGUUAUCCGCGCUGGACCGUGUACAAGUCUCCUGGAAUGGAGCGUCAUAGAGGGUGAGAAUCCCGUCUUUGACACGGACUGCCANGGCUUUGUGAUGCGCUCUCAAAGAGUCGAGUUGUUUGGGAAUGCAGCUCAAAAUGGGUGGUAAANUCCAUCUAAAGCUAAAUAUUGGCGAGAGACCGAUAGCGAACAAGUACCGUGAGGGAAAGAUGAAAAGAACUUUGGAAAGAGAGUUAAACAGUACGUGAAAUUGCUGAAAGGGAAACGCUUGAAGUCAGUCGCGUUGGCCGGGGAUCAACCUUGCUUUUGCUGGGCGUACUUUCCGGUCGACGGGUCAGCAUCAAUUUUGACCGGUGGAUAAAGGCUGAGGGAAUGUGGCUCCUUCGGGAGUGUUAUAGCCCUUGGUCGCAUACAUCGAUUGGGAUUGAGGAACUCAG
rnacentral:rRNA from 1 species